rnacentral:lncRNA from 1 species
UGCCUCCUAUUGCGCACGCAGGGCCUAGGCACGCUGGGCGCUGCACGCACAGGCCUACUGUGCAUAGGCCCUAGGCGCGUAUGGCCUAUCCAUGCGCGAGGUGACAUGCGGACGACCCGCCUACGAAUGGAUGGGACAUACGCACUGUGCACACCUCCCGUGCAUGCGAGUGUGCAGGGGGGACGUGCGCGGUGUGCACACAUCCCGUGCACGCGCGCAUGUGGAGUGGACAUGCGCACAUGUGCG